rnacentral:lncRNA from 1 species
GAAACAUAUCUGUUAUUAAAAUAAAAUAAUAAUAAUUAAUAAUAAUAAUAAUAAAUCUUUGCUGAGUGUCAGCUAAGUUUUUAUGAAUUUUUGAAAGGUGGAAGAAAUUUUUAAGAAAAUUUUGAUGUAGAAAAUUGGUUAAAAAAUGACCCGUUUCUUUUUUAAUUAAAAGAAGUAAAAAUUUUAUUUUUGAAUAACGUAUUACCAUCUUCCCAUUAUAGUGAUUUUUUUUCGAUUGCCUUUACAUAAGUCAUAUACCAUAAUUAUAAAGUACAUCCCUUAGUUGGUAUUAAGAGAUGUUGUAUAAAAACUGGUAUUUGACUGCCUUAUAAAACAGUACAGGUGUCUAAAUGCAGUUGUGUUCCUGCUGUUUUAUGCUGUCUGGUCUUUCCUAUUUCUACGCAUCAACAUGUUACUGUGAUUUGUAAAUAAUCCUUUAAAUGCCUGAAGCUUAGUAUAUAGAUUAAGAAUCAUAACCACAAAAACGCCUCACUGCCGAUUAUUUGUGAUGUCGAUGCUGCAUAGAAUGAUAUGCUAUGAAAAUGCAGCAUCUUCGAAAUCAUUUCAACCGAAUAAUGGGUAGAAAAAAUAAUAAUAAUAAUAAUAAUAAAAUAGAUCAAAUUGUCUUUCUUUCAUUCUCUUUUUUAUUAUUCAUUAAAUGGGAAGUAUUGUAUUUUUCUACGUCAAAAAAAAAAAAAAAAAUGGUAGUUGGGAUAACAGAUUGUUCAUGGCCAGUAGCUGAUAAGAAGUAUAUCAAGAUGGAUUUUGAAAAAAUUCGAAAAAAAUAAAUAAAAAAUUAUAUGACUGGUUGAAACUUAAAUAUUAUUUAAGUUAGACUUUUUAAUGGUCUUCCUUGUUCAAUUUUUUUUAUAGUAAAAAUACAAAUAGGGAGCAUUUGUGUUGUGUCUCUUUGCCAUUUUGUUCCCAUUCAACUAGAUGAAUCCUAUUGUAAUGAUACACAACGCAUAAUUCCUGAUUGUUGACACAUUUAAGCGUAUUUUGCACUGUAUCCCAAACAAAAAUAAAAAAAAAUUAUAUUAUAUAUAUAUAAAUAUAUAUAUAAAAGAGUGACGAAAAAAAAUAUAUUCAUAUGCAUAAAUCUUGUCCUGUAUUUGU